rnacentral:rRNA from 1 species
AACCUCCUACGGGGGGCAGCAGUGGGGGAUAUUGCACAAUGGGGGGAACCCUGAUGCAGCGACGCCGCGUGGGCGAUGGAGUGCUUCGGCAUGUAAAGCCCUAUCAGCAGGGAAGAAAAUGACGGUACCUGAAGAAGAAGCCCCGGCUAACUACGUGCCAGCAGCCGCGGUAAUACGUAGGGGGCAAGCGUUAUCCGGAUUUACUGGGUGUAAAGGGGGCGCAGACGGCGAUGCAAGCCAGGAGUGAAAGCCCGGGGCCCAACCCCGGGACUGCUCUUGGAACUGCGUGGCUGGAGGGCAGGAGG